AGUGAACGCUGGCGGUAGGCCUAACACAUGCAAGUCGAACGGCAGCACAGUAAGAGCUUGCUCUUACGGGUGGCGAGUGGCGGACGGGUGAGGAAUACAUCGGAAUCUACUUUUUCGUGGGGGAUAACGUAGGGAAACUUACGCUAAUACCGCAUACGACCUACGGGUGAAAGCAGGGGAUCUUCGGACCUUGCGCGAUUGAAUGAGCCGAUGUCGGAUUAGCUAGUUGGCGGGGUAAAGGCCCACCAAGGCGACGAUCCGUAGCUGGUCUGAGAGGAUGAUCAGCCACACUGGAACUGAGUCACGGUCCAGACUCCUACGGGAGGCAGCAGUGGGGAAUAUUGGACAAUGGGCGCAAGCCUGAUCCAGCCAUACCGCGUGGGUGAAGAAGGCCUUCGGGUUGUAAAGCCCUUUUGUUGGGAAGGAAAAGCAGCAGGUUAAUACCCCGCUGUUCUGACGGUACCCAAAGAAUAAGCACCGGCUAACUUCGUG
rnacentral:rRNA from 1 species